GUGGGAGAUUCGAGAAAAUAGUGAGAUCCUUUGUUUAUUUUUAAAGCUUCUAGAAUAAAUAAUCUUAUAAAUAUAAAAUCUAACUAGAAACUAUUCUCUCUGUAGAUAACCAUAUCGAGUUCAAAUCUCUUAGCCCAAAUUCUCAAUACAAAUAGGUUGACCGGCACCAAUUAUAAAGAUUGACUCCAGAAUCUAAGAAUUAUUCUCAAUUUCAAAAAACUCACACAUGUC
rnacentral:lncRNA from 1 species